AGAGUUUGAUCCUGGCUCAGGAUGAACGCUGGCGGCGUGCUUAACACAUGCAAGUCGAACGGAGCUAGAAGGAAGCUGCUUCAUUAAGCUUAGUGGCGGACGGGUGAGUAACGCGUGAGCAACCUGCCCUCGAGUGGGGAAUAACAUCGAGAAAUCGGUGCUAAUACCGCAUAAAGUCGAGAGACCGCAUGAUCUUUCGACCAAAGGAUUUAUUCGCUUGAGGAUGGGCUCGCGUCCGAUUAGCUAGUUGGUGAGGUAACGGCCCACCAAGGCAUCGAUCGGUAGCCGAACUGAGAGGUUGAUCGGCCACAUUGGGACUGAGACACGGCCCAGACUCCUACGGGAGGCAGCAGGUGGGGAAUAUUGGGCAAUGGGCGAAAAACGCCUGACCCAGCAACGCCGCGUGAAGGAUGAAGGUCUUCGGAUUGUAAACUUCUUUGAUUGGGGAAGAAUAAAUGACCUACCCAAAGAACAAGCCACGGCUAACUACGUGCCAGCCGCCGC
rnacentral:rRNA from 1 species